CCUACGGGCGGCAGCAGUGAGGAAUAUUGGUCAAUGGGCGGGAGCCUGAACCAGCCAAGCCGCGUGAGGGAAGAAGGUACAGCGUAUCGUAAACCUCUUUUGUCAGGGAACAAAGGCGGGGACUAGUCCCCGGAUGAGGGUACCUGAAGAAAAAGCAUCGGCUAACUCCGUGCCAGCAGCCGCGGUAAUACGGAGGAUGCGAGCGUUAUACGGAUUUAUGGGGUUUAACGGGUGCGCAGGCGGCCUGUUACGUCAGCGGUAAAAGCCCGGGGCUCAACCCCGGCGAGCCGUUGAAACUGGCGGGCUGGAGUUGGAGAGAAGUACGCGGAAUGCGCGGUGUAGCGGUGAAAUGCUUAGAUAUCGCGCAGAACCCCGAUUGCGAAGGCAGCGUACCGGCUCCACACUGACGCUGAGGCACGAAAGCGUGGGUAUCGAACAGGAUUAGAUACCCCAGUAGUC
rnacentral:rRNA from 1 species